GCCUAUACAUGCAGUCGAGCGGACGGAAGGGAGCUUGCUCCCGGAUGUUAGCGGCGGACGGGUGAGUAACACGUGGGUAACCUGCCUGUAAGACUGGGAUAACUCCGGGAAACCGGAGCUAAUACCGGAUAGUUCCUUGAACCGCACGGUUCAAGGAUGAAAGACGGUUUCGGCUGUCACUUACAGAUGGACCCGCGGCGCACUAUCUAGUUGGUGAGGUAACGGCUCACCAAGGCGACAAUACGUAGCCCACCUGAGAGGGUGAUCGGCCACACUGGGACUGAGACACGGCCCAGACUCCUACGGGAGGCAGCAGUAGGGAAUCUUCCGCAAUGGACGAAAGUCUGACGGAGCAACGCCCCGUGAGUGAUGAAAGUUUUCGGAUCGUAAAGCUCUGUUGUUAGGGAAAAACAAGUGCAAGAGUAACUGCUUGCACCUUGACGGUACCUAACCAGAAAGCCACGGCUAACUACGUGCCAGCAGCCGCGGUAAUACGUAGGUGGCAAGCGUUGUCCGGAAUUAUUGGGCGUAAAGGGCUCGCAGGCGGUUUCUUAAGUCUGAUGUGAAAGCCCCCGGCUCAACCGGGGAGGGUCAUUGGAGACUGGGAAACUUGAGUGCAGAAGAGGAGAGUGGAAUUCCACGUGUAGCGGUGAAAUGCGUAGAGAUGUGGAGGAACACCAGUGGCGAAGGCGACUCUUUGGUCUGUAACUGACGCUGAGGAGCGAAAGCGUGGGGAGCGAACAGGAUUAUAUACCCUGGUAGUCCACGCCGUAAACGAUGAGUGCUGAGUGUUAUGGGGGUUUCCGCCCCCUCAUUGCUGCAGCUAACGCAUUAAGCACUCCGCC
rnacentral:rRNA from 1 species